AAUACAAUGGUUAGCAUAAAAGCAGGUACCUCUGUAAUACAAUGGGUAGCAUAAAAGCAGUGACCUCUGUCAUACAAUGGGUAGCAUAAAAGCAGUGACCUCUGUCAUACAAUGGGUAGCAUAAAAGCAGGUACCUCUGUCAUACAAUGGGUAGCAUAAAAGCAGUGACCUCUGUCAUACAAUGGGUAGCAUAAAAGCAGUGACCUCUGUAAUACAAUGGGUAGCAUAAAAGUGUAACAGUGGUUUGAUUCCGCCAGUGUACUUUAUCCGGAGGAAGAAAAUCCCCAGUGAUUUUUAUCCACCAACAAAAAAUCACUAGGGUUUUCUAUCCGGGUCCAGUGUAAAAGAUCCACCAGUCAUUUUAAGGUUCUAAAAAGGUUUUUUUAAAGGGGAAAUAUAUAUAAAAUGUGGCUUAAUAGUUUUUAGUGUAUUUGAAAAUUGCAUAGUUGAUUUAU